rnacentral:lncRNA from 1 species
UAGUGCUUCUCUCAUCAUAUCAUCAGCGCGCAUAACUAAGAUCACCCACUAGUCGGAAUCACGCCUAGUGAUCUAUACGACUAGCAUGUCGGAACCCUCACAUGGUCUGUACGACGACAUCCACCUACUUGGAUCCAAGGCGAGCGUGCGGUGUGGUGAAUAAUAUAAGCACUAACACCUAGGGUGCAGGUUAUGAGCUCAAAUUAUAUUGAUAUCAAUCCAUUCAAUUAAAUGAAU